rnacentral:lncRNA from 1 species
CUGCCUUGUCCACCCUGCUAAUGCACACUGAGGAGCCCCCCGACUUCUCUGGGGACCCCAAGGGUCCCUGUGGCCAGGAAGGCCCAUGCAGCCCACUUCCCGCUGGGCCCCAGCCCUGCCAUGGAGCCGCUGGCCCCACACCCUGAGGAGUCCUUGCCUUCUGGCUCUUCUGGCUCUCAGCAGGCCUCUAGCUCUGCCCCCUUCUCUACCCGCACUCUGUGUCCUGCUCCCCCUGCCCUGGCUGGACUGGGCACUGUACCCUAGCAUGGCCCAGGGCCAAGCCAUGUGGGGCCAUCAGGACCAGGCCACUCUUCCUUCUGAAGGUCCACCGGGGGAGAGGUAGCCACGGACCUCUGCCUGGAGGUUGGCGAAAUGGGUUUUCCAUUGUCAUGGACUGUCUUCCUCCCUCAACCCCGAGAACCCACGAGAGCAGGCCAAGAAAGGACCCCAGGUCAGCUGCAUCGAGAACCAGCUAGUUCGGGUACAGUGGUCAGAAGAGCAACAGGUGACACCGGGGAGGUGACCCUGAGCCCUCACAACGCAGGGUCCAGUGCGUGUCACUCUCACUGCCCCUGAUGGCUGUGCCCAGGUCUCUAGAGUGAGCCUCCCAGAAAGCUUCCCUUCAGAUGGCCCGGGUGGGCUGCUCAGUCCUCCUUAGGCGUGUCCAGCCUCGAACAAAGGAGACACAGACCCGGCAAGGCUGAACAGUGGCCGUGGCGGCAGUGGCUCUCCUCCGAUGGCACUGCCAUCCCUGUAUCUGGAGGGCCGUCCCAGGCUCCCGUGGACACCGAACUCUGUGGAUGCUCAAGUCCCUCUACAGAAUGAUGAAACACUACAGCAGUGAAUGAAAUCCUGAGUUGAGAGCAGCAACAGAAUUUGUCACUAAACACCUGCUGUGGCCAGGCUCUGAAGGCAUCUCGUGCACUCUGAUGUCAGAAAGGUUAAAGUCCCCCAUGGGGGACUUACAAGGUCACCUUGCUGUGUGGAUUGACGCUUUUCUCUCAGUGGAGGUCAUCAGGUUCAAACCAGAGUCGUCUGUGUCAGACUCUGAGAGACGUGGGGCCCAAGGGAGGACACGCAGGCACCAUGUGUCUCUCCCAGCAGCUGUCACCAGGACGACCAGCUGUUCACAGCCCAGCACUGUCCUGCCACCUGCACCGCCACACAGCCUGCGUGACUCAGGACAGGCCACUGCCUCUCAGCUGCCAGGCCCCAAGCAUGGGCCGCUAGGAUCUGCGCACUUCCUAGACAUCUCAUGUGGCUUUCCCUUUUCCCCAGGAAGACCUCAGACUUCCCUGUGUUCCUCAGACAUACUAGGGGCCAGCCCUCCCUGAGCAAGAGCAUCCUGGAUUGCAAUCCUACCUUUUUAAAUUCCCAAAUCUGCAAAGAACAACAGUACACUACCGAUUUCUCAUGGAGAGAGGUUUAAUGAGAUGCAUGCAGAGCGUGUGGAACAGUACUUGGCCCACGGUAACGCUGCUUGUUGAACGGAGCCUCUCCAGCCUCAAGUUGGUCUUCUCAUGGUGACAGAGUGGUUUCAGCCGGCCUGACAGUGUGUCCUCACACAUCCACGCCCUGCCCAGAAAAGAAAGAAAAGAAAGAAGAUCCGGAGAGCCAAAUGGAGCGCAGCAAUGACUUCUCCAGUCGUUUGCAAGGCUGCAACAGCUAAGCUUCUGAUCCAGCUGUGCAUCCACACAGGCACCUGGGGAACAGCGACUGCAAUUCGCUCAGCCCUCUCCCUGCUCUGUACAAAAGACCGAGGCCUCUCUUUAAAUCAGUACUCUGGUGCUUUCUACAAACCGCAGUUGUAAAGGCAUACACACGUGCAUGCAAAGGUCUACAUGUGUCCAGCCCAUGACGGAG